GACGAACGCUGGCGGCGUGCCUAACACAUGCAAGUCGAGCGGAGAUGAUGUGAGGAAGUUUUCGGAUGGAAUCACAUUAUUUUAGCGGCGGACGGGUGAGUAACGCGUGAGCGACCAACCUUGCACAGGGGGAUAACGGACCGAAAGGUUCACUAAUACCGCAUGAGACCACGGUGUUGCAUGACACAGAGGUCAAAGGAGCAAUCCGGUGCAAGACGGGCUCGCGUCCGAUUAGGUAGUUGGAGGGGUAACGGCCCACCAAGCCUAUGAUCGGUAGCCGACCUGGGAGGGUGAUCGGCCACAUUGGAACUGAGAUACGGUCCAAACUCCUACGGGAGGCAGCAGUGGGGAAUAUUGGGCAAUGGGGGAAACCCUGACCCAGCAACGCCGCGUGAAGGAAGAAGGUUUUCGGAUUGUAAACUUCUGUCCUUGGUGAAGAGAAGAAGACGGUAGCCAAGGAGGAAGCCCCGGCUAACUACGUGCCAGCCGCCGCGGUAA
rnacentral:rRNA from 1 species